GACGAACGCUGGCGGCGUGCUUAACACAUGCAAGUCGAGCGGUAAGGCCCUUUCGGGGGUACACGAGCGGCGAACGGGUGAGUAACACGUGGGUGACCUGCCCUCAGCUCUGGGAUAAGCCUGGGAAACCGGGUCUAAUACUGGAUAUGACUCCAUGACGCAUGUUGUGGGGUGGAAAGCCUUGUGCGGCUGAGGAUGGGCCCGCGGCCUAUCAGCUUGUUGGUGGGGUGAUGGCCUACCAGGGCGACGACGGGUAGCCGGCCUGAGAGGGCGACCGGCCACACUGGGACUGAGACACGGCCCAGACUCCUACGGGAGGCAGCCAGUGGGGAAUCUUGCGCGAAUGGGCGAAAGCCUGACGCAGCGACGCCGCGUGAGGGAUGACGGCC
rnacentral:rRNA from 1 species